rnacentral:lncRNA from 1 species
UGGCACUUUGCCUGUUUGCUUUCUUCUCCUCAUCAGGAAGCGGUGGCAUUGGGUAAGGGUAUUUUCUGCUGGAAGCAAUAGAUCCAGUGGAUGAAGAUGGGGACUUUGCAGGAGACAGUGUCUCAGUUGAAUUAGACCGUGGCCUAAAUCUUUUGCCUCUGACUUUCUUUCUGUUUCCUCCUAUAUUACCUUGCCAAGAAUUACUCCUAGGCCUCCCAUUUUCAC